rnacentral:rRNA from 1 species
GACGUAGGAGGCGAGCGUUGUCCGGAUUCAUUGGGCGUAAAGAGCACGCAGGCGGUUUGGCAAGUCGGAUGUGAAAACCCGAAGCUCAACUUCGGGCCUGCAUCCGAAACUGCCCGACUAGAGGUAGGUAGGGGAGGUCGGAAUUCCUGGUGUAGCGGUGAAAUGCGCAGAUAUCAGGAGGAACACCGGUGGCGAAGGCGGAUCUCUGGGCCUUACCUGACGCUCAGGUGCGAAAGCGUGGGGAGCAAACAGG